rnacentral:rRNA from 1 species
UACGUAGGGGGCGAGCGUUGUCCGGAAUCAUUGGGCGUAAAGCGCGCGUAGGCGGCCCGGUAAGUCCGUUGUGAAAGUCAAAGGCUCAACCUUUGAACGCCGAUGGAUACUGCCGGGCUAGAGUCCGGAAGAGGCGAGUGGAAUUCCUGGCGUAGCGGUGGAAUGCGCAGAUAUCAGGAGGAACACCAAUAGCGAAGGCAGCUCGCUGGGACGGUACUGACGCUGAGGCGCGAAAGCGUGGGGAGCGAACAGG